CGCAGGGCCCGCCGCCUGCCUCCCGCGGGCUGCCCGCGGGGCUCGGCUCGGCUCCGCCCGCGGAGGGAGGGCGGAGGGGAGCGGCCGGGGCCGGCGGGAGGGAGGUGAAGCCGCCGCCGCCUCGCAGGGCGGCGCAAUCGGGGCCGGAGCCAUCGAGCUCCGCGGUCCGGCCGAGAGGGCGGGAGCGGCCCGGGCAGGGCGCGGGCGUCACUGAGGUAAAGCGGCCGGGCCCGGGCCGAGGCGCUGCGAAGGGGAUAGAGCUGCCGCCGUCCUAACUCCUGAGCAGGCAAUGGCGAUUUUAUUGCCUUAUUUAUUUAUUUAGGAUAGCUGUCUCAGAGAGCUGUAGAGCUCUGUUGGUCCUGUUGAGAUUUACAGCCGGUUCUGGUCAGCAUCUGUCGUGACUGCUGAUCCUUGCUGCAUGGUGAGGGCUGGGGCUCCUUCGCACUACACCAGCACAGUAGUGACAUCCAGUUUAUAGUCUGCAUCAUUUAUCAGGCGUAACACAUGCAAAAGUCACAAUUACACACGCGUUUCACCCGUAUACAUUUGACCCCAGAUCAAGAGCAGAUCCCAAGUCACCGAGUCAUUCUGCAUCUUACUGAGGAGAUUUAAGGGCACCAGCCUGCAUUACCGUAUUUGGACAUCGGUUUCAUUUUUGCCGAAUUGCCUGUGGUGAAGAAACAUGAGCACUGAUGCAGCGACCUUUUACAAGAAAUUUCUGCCAAUCUUUAUAAUCCUCAGUGACUACAGCAAUAGAAAAGAAUGUAUUCCUUUGAAUUCAGUGGGACUGUGCAAGUGUUCUCAAGACUGAUGGCUUCCAGGAGGCAGUGAGAGUGUGCAGUGAACCAUGAGCAUCCAGAGACUUGUGCCACGGGACUGAGAACUUGGUGUUUAUGGUUUCUUCUUUCUCUCCUUCUCUUUUGGAUUAACCUGGGUCUGUUUUUACAUGCUUUCAAAUUAGGUUUUUGCCACCCAACACUACGGGGACAGGCAGCUUCUUUUAGGGACCCUUGGCAGAGUGAGGCCUGGCCAUGGGGUUGAGGUUAUAAUUAUAAUUUAUAAUUACAGAAGUAGCAAUCAGCAUAGCUUAUUGUUAUUUACAAUUUUUAUUGAUCAGCAUAGCUUAUUGUUAUAAAGAAUUUCUAGUAAUUAGUGUAACUUUCUUGUUACCUAGAAUUAUUGGGCACCCUGACUUUUUAAUCACAUGGACCCUCUGCAGAUUGGGUUAAAUUCUUAAUAAUAAACUCAUGAUGCAAUAGUCACAAUCUAGACUCAGAAUUCAGCUAAAAGAACACGAGUCAUUUACUCAGUCCCCAGAAGAAGCAGACGAUCCUGGAGACAUCCCUGACCAGCAGGGGAUCACAGGUUUUACAGUCCACCAGCAGUUCCAGUCUCAGUCCUACUUGAGACUUGCAGCUUCUUGGAUUUGUAGGCAGCGUCUCACGUGCUGUAAUGCUUCUCUGUUCUGUAACGGGUGUCAUCACGUCUGGCAAUCCAGCGCCUUGGUGUUAACACUGAUGGACAAACGACCUCAUCACAAUGCCGACAGGAGGCUUCUCUGUUCUAUAACAGGGAUCACCACAUCCUGGUGACAACCCUGGUGGGCAAAUGUUUUUAUUACAAUGCCAAAAAGAAGGGGAGGAAGCCGGGGUAUUAGGUGACCAGUCACCUUACAUAUAAUAGACAUUUGCCUUACAAAAUGGCAUUGGUUAUGCUAACCCUAUUACCAGGUGUCUGGAGCAGGGGGUACUUGUCACAGUUUUACACCUUCCUUUUUCUUCACUGGCCUGCAACUACAUAUAGUGCAUUUUAUUUAUGUUAGAUACUUGUUCUCUGCUCUUGUUUUUACCCCUAAAUUAGUUUUGUCCAGCUCCAGGUCUGCAUUUUUUAACUGCCAAUUGGCAAGUUGUUUAUAGCCUUAGCACCUCCAGCGCCAGUCUGUGCCCCAUCCAUCUUAGCAUCCAUGCAUGUACUCCCCUCUGCUGCAGCUGGUGUCUCAAGGUCGCUGCUAUCCUAACGGGCCUUUAUUACAAUUUAACAUUUUGUUAGAGUCAUAAAUAUAUAAUUCUACACAGAAUAACUUACUAUUAAUAGCUAUAUAAAAACUGUGGUUAUUACCAUACAAAGCAAAGUAAAACAAAUUAGCCAUAGUCUCCUGUCAUUAGAAAAAUUGUUACAGCAAAAUCAAGUAAAACCAAAACUCCAAGAUCAGCAAAUUCAGACAAAGUAAAGCUGAUAAGCCUCCAUCCAGAGGUUCUGUAAAAUCAGGACAAAGGACUGUUAGUAGCAAGUUAGUAGCAAGGACUACAAGGACCACAAGGACUGUUAGUAGCAAUAGCAAUACUGUACUACUGGGCUACAUGGUGUCAUAGAGGCCCCAAUGACACACAGAUUGCAGAAACAUGAAAUUAAGCUAGCUAUUGCACCAAAUCCAGAGAUUUUAAAAAACUAUGCUUUCAAGUGUGGAUGGAUAUCUCCAUAGUGAUUCUGUUUUCCAGAGCAAAGUUGGUCAAUUAAUACUAGCAGGAGAGAUUCAUGGACACUUGCUUAAGGCAUUCAGGUAAAAUGCUAAAGGUUCCCAGAUUACACAAAGAAAAAGAAGGGUCUGUUUAAUUUUACUUAAGUACAGAUGGUUAUUACCUUGCAAUUCUGGACUAGUAUUUUUAUGUUGCAUACUGUAUGUAACAAUAGAGGUAAGGAUUUCCACAACGGGCACAGGAAGGAAGCAGGAAUAGUGCUGACUCAAAAACGAACUAUUGCAAUCUCAACUCAUUGGUUUUAUAAGAGCAGUCCAUAGUCCAUGCAUGCUCAGCUCACACAAUCUGGGUGUGCACACUGCAAACAAGGUCAUAAAAACCUGACAGAACAGUCCCUGAUGAACUGGGAGGCCACGCUAGAAUAGCAUAAUGACUACUCCUUUCACAGUUUAUUUUAAGGAAGUGUGAAAUAUUAAACAUCUUACAGAAUAAAUAUUCUCCAAGUGUAGAACAGGAUAGUUAUUUGAGCUUUUGCCUAGUCAUAGAAUAAAGACUGUU